rnacentral:tRNA from 1 species
UAAAAAGUGGUGUAUAGGAUGCACUUGGAGUUUUGAUCUCUGCUGUAUAGGUUCGAGCCCUAUUUUUUUAG